rnacentral:lncRNA from 1 species
GUCCAGUGUUGUGGUGACCUGAGGAGGGGACCAGACUAUCACCACCUGGGCUGUCCUGUGUUGUGGUGACCUGAGGAGGGGACCAGACUAUCACCACCUGGACUGUCCAGUGUUGUGGUGACCUUAGUGUGACUUCUGUGGCCACUGGUCACACACCUGGGUCAUGUUUAUUAGGCACAGGACUGAAACAGGGAGGGACUACCUGAGCUUGUCCAAUAAGAAACGCUUGUGCGUUCAUAAGGCACCAAACGGAAGAAAACAGACUGCAACGGAGGGAACUACCUGAACUUCCAGUCCAAUAAGAAACUUAAUUUUUUUGUUUUCAGUUGCAAAACGUUUUGCUACGGUGUGCACUUAUGAACACGACCAUGCUUGGACUUCCUGUCUGUACUGUGACCCAGGCUGGCUCUGGGGGCUGGAGUCCUGCUGCUCUGUCCGUCUCAUUGGGUGCCAUUUGGGACUUACCCUCUUGCACAUGUCCACCUGCUAUCCAUCAUUCACAUGUCCAUCUACUAUCCAUCAUUCACCUGUCCAUCUACUAUCCAUCAUUCACAUGUCCAUCUACUACCCAUCAAUCACAUGUCCAUCUACUAUCCAUCAUUCACCUGUCCAUCUACUAUCCAUCAUUCACCUGUCCAUCUACUACCCAUCAUUCACAUGUCCAUCUACUAUCCAUCAUUCACCUGU